rnacentral:rRNA from 1 species
UAGGGAAUCUUCCACAAUGGACGCAAGUCUGAUGGAGCAACGCCGCGUGAGUGAAGAAGGUUUUCGGACCGUAAAGCUCUGUUGUUGGUGAAGAAGGAUAGAGGUAGUAACUGGCCUUUAUUUGACGGUAAUCAACCAGAAAGUCACGGCUAACUACGUGCCAGCAGCCGCGGUAAUACGUAGGUGGCAAGCGUUGUCCGGAUUUAUUGGGCGUAAAGCGAGCGCAGGCGGAAGAAUAAGUCUGAUGUGAAAGCCCUCGGCUUAACCGAGGAAUUGCAUCGGAAACUGUUUUCUUGAGUGCAGAAGAGGAGAGUAGAACUCCAUGUGUAGCGGUGGAAUGCGUAGAUAUAUGGAAGAAUACCAGUGGCGAAGGCGGCUCUCUGGUCUGCAACUGACGCUGAGGCUCGAAAGCAUGGGUAGCGAACAGGAUUAGAUACCCUGGUAGUCCAUGCCGUAAACGAUGAGUGCUAAGUGUUGGGAGGCUUCCGCCUCUCAGUGCUGCAGCUAACGCAUUAAGCACUCCGCCUGGGGGAGUACGACCGCAGGUUGAAAC